GUCCUCACUCCUCUGUCCCCUCAGGUGAGGGGUCCAGGUCCUGUCUCCUCUGUCCCCUCAGGUGAGGGGUCCAGGUCCUGUCUCCUCUGUCCCCUCAGGUGAGGGGUCCAGGUCCUCACUCCUCUGUCCCCUCAGGUGAGGGGUCCAGGUCCUGUCUCCUCUGUCCCCUCAGGUGAGGGGUCCAAGUCUUCACUCCUCUGUCCCCUCAGGUGAGGGGUCCAGGUCCU